rnacentral:rRNA from 1 species
AGUGAACGCUGGCGGUAGGCCUAACACAUGCAAGUCGAACGGCAGCACAGUAAGAUCUUGCUCUUACGGGUGGCGAGUGGCGGACGGGUGAGGAAUACAUCGGAAUCUACUUUUUCGUGGGGGAUAACGUAGGGAAACUUACGCUAAUACCGCAUACGACCUACGGGUGAAAGCAGGGGAUCUUCGGACCUUGCGCGAUUGAAUGAGCCGAUGUCGGAUUAGCUAGUUGGCGGGGUAAAGGCCCACCAAGGCGACGAUCCGUAGCUGGUCUGAGAGGAUGAUCAGCCACACUGGAACUGAGACACGGUCCAGACUCCUACGGGAGGCAGCAGUGGGGAAUAUUCGGCAAUGGGCGCAAGCCUGAUCCAGCAAUACCGCGUGGGUGAAGAAGGCCUUCGGGUUGUAAAGCCCUUUUGUUGGGAAAGAAAAGCAGCAGGUUAAUACCCCGCUGUUCUGACGGUACCCAAAGAAUAAGCACCGGCUAACUUCGUG